rnacentral:rRNA from 1 species
UGAGGAAUAUUGGACAAUGGGCGCAAGCCUGAUCCAGCCAUACCGCGUGAGUGAAGAAGGCCUUCGGGUUGUAAAGCUCUUUCAGACGGAAAGAAACGGUUACGGCUAAUACCCGUGACUAAUGACGGUACCGUAAGAAGAAGCACCGGCUAACUACGUGCCAGCAGCCGCGGUAAUACGUAGGGUGCGAGCGUUAAUCGGAAUUACUGGGCGUAAAGCGUGCGCAGGCGGUUUGGUAAGACAGAUGUGAAAUCCCCGGGCUUAACCUGGGAACUGCAUUUGUGACUGCCAGACUAGAGUGUAGCAGAGGGGGGUAGAAUUCCACGUGUAGCAGUGAAAUGCGUAGAUAUGUGGAGGAAUACCGAUGGCGAAGGCAGCCCCCUGGGCUAACACUGACGCUCAUGCACGAAAGCGUGGGGAGCAAACAGGAUUAGAUACCCAGGUAGUCCCUGAGCGGGCUGGCAAGGCGCAU